UGGGGAAUAUUGCACAAUGGGCGAAAGCCUGAUGCAGCAACGCCGCGUGAACGAUGAAGGCCUUCGGGUCGUAAAGUUCUGUCCUCAAGGAAGAUAAUGACGGUACUUGAGGAGGAAGCCCCGGCUAACUACGUGCCAGCAGCCGCGGUAAUACGUAGGGGGCUAGCGUUAUCCGGAUUUACUGGGCGUAAAGGGUGCGUAGGCGGUUUUUUAAGUCAGAAGUGAAAGGCUACGGCUUAACCGUAGUAAGCUUUUGAAACUGGAGAACUUGAGUGCAGGAGAGGAGAGUGGAAUUCCUAGUGUAGCGGUGAAAUGCGUAGAUAUUAGGAGGAACACCAGUAGCGAAGGCGGCUCUCUGGACUGUAACUGACGCUGAGGCACGAAAGCGUGGGGAGCAAACAGG
rnacentral:rRNA from 2 species